AAAUUACAUUGUCAAGCCCUAAAUCUCCAUUUAUUUAAUUUCUUCAUAUGCCUGAUCCGUGAGAAAGAGCUAGACUGGAUACUUGAGCUCCGCUUGGGAAGAUACAGAAAAGCGCGUGAAAUGGGAUGGAGAGUUCAUUCUCGCCAAAUUUGGUUACAAAUCACAUUGUCAAACCCUAAAUCUUCCUUCAUUCAAUUUCUUCAUAUGCCUGAUUCGUGAGAAAGAGCCAGACUGAAUACUUGAUGUAGGGAAUCAGAUUGGGACUUUUGGGGAUGCAUUUACUAAGCUUGAAAAACGUUUCAAGGGUUCGCAAGAAACAUUCCAGAGAUGGAGGACUGCUUUGAGAGAAGCUGCCAAUCUAUCUGGCUUUGAUUCAAAUGUCAUCAGUUUUCCAAAUUUGUUACUGAAUGGAACUGACCCAGGCUUGCGGUCCUAAAAGAAGCGAGUAACACUUGAGUGAAACUUGGAGGUUGAAAUCUUCUUAUACAAAAGGUAAUUUAAGUUCAAACCCAUGAGCUUAUUAUAGUAGGUUGGAACAAGUUGAUAAGAUAACCUUUUACAUCCCCAUAUCCCUUAAAUGGUAAAAUGUAAAAAAAUGACUCAUGCAAAUUCUGCGCAGCAUGUUUCUUGUUGCUUUGGUAGGAAACCCUCCAAGAGGAAAUUUAACGCUUUGCACUCCAUUGUUUAUGGGGUUUCUUGUUUGCCUGAUCUUGAAGAUAUGCCAAAUCUUGGAACUCUCUGUGGUAUUCUGUAUAGUUGUGGUGGUGUCCUGCAUAAUAGUUCAA